AUACGGAGGGGGCUAGCGUUGUUCGGAAUUACUGGGCGUAAAGCGCACGUAGGCGGAUUAAAAAGUUAGAGGUGAAAUCCCAGGGCUUAACCCUGGAACUGCCUUUAAAACUAGUAGUCUAGAGUUCGAGAGAGGUGAGUGGAAUUCCAAGUGUAGAGGUGAAAUUCGUAGAUAUUUGGAGGAACACCAGUGGCGAAGGCGGCUCACUGGCUCGAUACUGACGCUGAGGUGCGAAAGCGUGGGGAGCAAACAGGAUUAGAUACCCCUGUAGUCC
rnacentral:rRNA from 1 species